GUGGGGAAUCUUCCGCAAUGGACGAAAGUCUGACGGAGCGACGCCGCGUGAGUGAAGAAGGCCUUCGGGUCGUAAAGCUCUGUCAUCAGGGACGAACGGCCGGUGGAGUGGAAAGCCACCGGAUUGACGGUACCUGAGAAGGAAGCCACGGCUAACUACGUGCCAGCAGCCGCGGUAAUACGUAGGUGGCAAGCGUUGUCCGGAAUUAUUGGGCGUAAAGCGCGCGCAGGUGGGAUCUUAAGUCCAUUUUGAAAGUUCGGAGCUCAACUCCGUGAUGGGAUGGAAACUGGGAUUCUUGAGUACCGGAGAGGAAAGCGGAAUUCCCCGUGUAGCGGUGAAAUGCGUAGAUAUGGGGAGGAACACCAGUGGCGAAGGCGGCUUCCUGGCACAAUACUGACGCUCAUGUGCGAAAGCUAGGGCAGCGAACGGGAUUAGAUACCCCGGUAGUCC
rnacentral:rRNA from 1 species